rnacentral:misc_RNA from 1 species
GUGUGAAGUCGAUACUUCAAGAAAGGGACAAACGAACGCCUCAACGAUCGCGCAGAUCGUUCGUAUUGUUCUGUUCCGGUCUCUUCGAUCUCGUCAGCAAGGCCAACGACUCGCCUUUAACGCACGCAAACACGGCACACUGCUACCAGUCACCACCACAGGUAAUAUCACCUCGGACGUUUCAAUACUCUCACCAUGGCGUCCGUCCCCUUCACGGAGGAGGACCUCCAUGAGCUCUACACGUGGGUGGACGAGAUUCCAAUCUCGCGGCAGAAGCGCAACAUCGCCCGCGACUUCGCCGAUGGCUGUUCCGUGGCAGAGAUACUUAAGUUCUUCUUCCCAAAGUUAGUCGAUCUGCACAACUACGUCCCGGCAAUGUCGCGUGCAAAAAAGCUGGACAACUGGAACACGCUGAAUGCUAAGGUUCUGCGCAAGCUGUACUUCGAGGUUCCCCCAGAGGAGGUGGAAGACAUCGUAGCAGCCGUGCCCGGCGCCAUCGAGCGCUUCCUGCGUGCGCUACGCGUGAAGGUUGCGCAGAUCAAGGCGAGACGGGAAGAGAUGCUAAUGAUGGGGGAGAUUCAGGCGCACGAGAAUGCGCAUUAUGUGGACCCGUCGCCGUCGCAGCCACAGCCUCGAGAAGGCGGCCACGCGAGAGAUGGCGGAGCCUCUGCCGCCACCGCUCACCGUGAAAGCGGGCGGCCCUCAUCGCCCGCGGCGCCGGCUGGCAGGACCGCAUCAUCUCGGGGGUCCUCCUCAGCGGGCCCGCAGGCACCUCCACGGCAAACACAGCCACAAAGGCAGCCGACGCAGCCAUCGGUGAAUGAGGUGGCAAGCUUGACACAGGUACUGCGUGAGAAGGACUACACGAUACAAGAGCUGCGCGAGACGGUUGCCAUUCUUUCAGAGAAGAUUGUGAAGCUGGAGGAGCUGGUGCGUGUGAAGGAUGAGAAGCUCAAUCAGUACCGCCAAAAGUUUGGCCGCGUUCCGGCAUAGCCGCUGCCACGCUCCCCGGCUGAGGACGUGGCGCAUCGCUUGAUAGAGAGGGCGGUGUGCUGGUUAUGUACUGUAUAGACAUGGAUGAUGGCGAGGUGUAGUGAUGCGUGAUGCACUCCUGUCCGUCUCCCUCAACUCACAGACGUGCGCUAUCCUUCCCCUUGCUUCCACAUACCCUUUUCGUGUCGGCCUGGCGUGUACUUGUAUAGAUGUGCAACAAGCAUCUUGUUCUCUUUUCUCUUUGCCGUGGAUGUUGCGUCUCUCUCUCUCUUGUUGCUCCUCCUCUACCUCUUAGUUUGUUGCUCAUCUUGCUCCGGCAUUGCACAUGACACUGUUGCACGUCGUCCCAUUCAAGCAGCGUAUGGGCAUUGAAUGUGAAAACAAUGGACGUACAAGGACACACAAG